GUCCUAGCCUUUCUUCCCAGGAGCGACCGCCUCUCCUCGAUUACAGCCACCAGCCGUCGCGACCGCUUCCUGUCCUCCAUCGCAGCCGCCGAGCGCCGCCGCCCCUCCCUCCGUCGCAGCCGCCAGCCUCUGUGGCCGCCGCGGCCGCCCCCUCUCCUCCAUCUGAGCCGCCAGAAGCCGCGGACGACCCCUCUCCUCCAUCGCAGCCGCCAGCCGCCGCCGCCCUCCCUCCGUCGCAGCCGCUAGCCGCCGCGGCCGCCAGACGCCGCCGCCUCCCCUCCCUCCGUCGCAGCCGCCAGCCUCCGGCGCCCCAACCCUCCGUCGCAGUGUCGCCACCACCCUCUCCGUCGCAGCCUCCCUCCCCUCCGUCACGGGGAUCGCCGGGAGACUCACAGGCACGUCCCGUCUGUCGAAGGAAUCGGCCGGAGUGUUGCUGGGAUCGCCGGGAGAAUCCAGCCCCUACCCCCUACCUGACGGACGCGUCACUGACUCCUCGUCCACGUCGCCUCCUUCGAUCGUUGUUGUGUAGGACAACAAGCUGCAAGAAGAAGCUCUAUGAUGGGUGCAUUUGAAGUUUGAUCGUCGAGAGAGUUCAGACUCCAGAGCAGGCUCACAACACUGAAUAUCUUUAGUCUGCGCGUAGACUAUGUAUGUCUCCAGGAGAAGUUUGGGUGUAAGAGACAGAAUAUUGAGAUGAAGGAGAUUGGUGCUGACUGCUAGGAUAUCUUUCAACAUGGAUGGCUUGCUUUCUACAUGAAACACAUGAUCUGUAAUAACCAGAUUUGCACAAGUCCAUUAAUUGAUAAUCAUGAACGUUAUGUUGUUUCUGCUGGAGCUUCUUGUAGCAUCUUGUUUUGGCUGAGUGGAAAUUUUUGCCUGUUA